UAAUUUCUCACAAUUCAAAACUAUUUUGAAAUUUGCUGAGCCAGUCUUUAUAAUUGGGUUUGGUCAAACGGUUGUUCUAUAGGAUAUGAGUUAAGAGUCUAGAAGCUGAAUUUCUAAUCCUUAGAGAGUAAAGAUUCUAAUUAGAAUUUUGUACUUGAUCUCUAUUUAUUUUAGGGCCUUUUAAAACAAAUAUACCUCCCACUAUUUCCUCGAAUCUCUCACACUCCUCUGGUAGAGAAACGGAAACCUUGCGACUCUAGGUUUCAAUUGGGGUGCUACGGUCCCACCAAUUUACAUACCACCUCACCUAACAGUUAUUGAUGACAAAUAAAUGAUGAGUGUACAACUCUUGUACAAUGCUUCUCAAGCAAGUUGU
rnacentral:lncRNA from 1 species